rnacentral:rRNA from 1 species
UACGUAGGGUGCAAGCGUUAAUCGGAAUUACUGGGCGUAAAGCGUGCGCAGGCGGCUAUGCAAGACAGAUGUGAAAUCCCCGGGCUUAACCUGGGAACUGCAUUUGUGACUGCAUGGCUAGAGUACGUUAGAGGGGGAUGGAAUUCCGCGUGUAGCAGUGAAAUGCGUAGAUAUGCGGAGGAACACCGAUGGCGAAGGCAAUCCCCUGGACCUGUACUGACGCUCAUGCACGAAAGCGUGGGGAGCAAACAGG